CGAAUAUGUGUGUGCGCGCGCGCUGCAGAGGUAUAACGAGCACGCUUAAGGAUGGAGUGAAGGUAAAUUAUUGAUAACCUCUGCCGCCUCGUGGACCUUAAGAGGCUUAUAAAACAGCUUCACCCGCAGGUCAGACACUCAGCCACUGAUACGCGUCGCGGCGCGGCGCCCCCGGGGCCCGCUCGCCUUCCGACACGGCGUAGACGCCGCGCUCGCAUCCAUUAAACACGACCGCCGCGGGGCUUGUUUGGUUCUGGAGCCAGCGGGCAGCCAUGAAUCAGCGUUGGUUUUCAGGCCUCGAGACUGAACACGGAAUCAGGGAGAUUACGCCAACGUCGGCGCAAAUAAAUCCUUAAGCUGCGCCGCCGCUCGUGUUGUUGCGGCUUGUGGUUGUUGAACGCGGUCUCCUCUCCUUUAACGGGGCCGCAUUACUCCAUCAUUUAGGCUAAUUGCCUCCGAACAAAUGGUUUCUUGCUGCCUGUCAGCGUUCAGUGUAUAAUCAUUUUUGACCUACUCGCCGAACUCCGUCUUUUAAGUAUAUGCACUGUAUAAUAUUUGCCCUACUUAAUAAUUAAUUGCACCAAAUUGCGUGGGAUGCCCCAUCCAUUUAAUCAGUGCGGUUGCACGGCCCAGUGGAGUCAGAUAAGGAUCAGAGCUGGUGGAAGUGGACGUGCAGCGCAGUGACGAGAACGCGGAGACGUGAGACGUAGGACGGAAGCUUGAAGCGGAGCGGCGGCUAAUUCACACGGAAGGGAGCCCGCUGAGGCGGCGUGGGCGUCCUGAUCACGGUUUGCUCCAGUGACAGCCCCACGGGAUCUACUCCACCCAGGGAGUCGCCCAUCACUGCAAAUCAAGCGCGAGGCUGACAGCUUGGCUCUGCUCCAAAAGCGUGUUUCCAGUUGGGAGCGAUCCAAAGAAAACCCGGAGAGCUCCGCCAAGUUCCUAACGAGCGAUCCAGGCAACUGGAGCCAACCAGUGAGGAGCCAGCCUCUUCCUCGCCGGCGCAGCAGGAGAGCUGGAGGCGCACUCGCUCGGGCCUCGUCUGCAGCCGGAGCCAAGUCGUCCGUUCAUUACCGGCAACAAGCGGCGUGAACGGCAUCAGCAGCAGAAGAAGAAGCCUCUCAUUGAUGGAAGUCUCUGGCAGCAUAUUUCAAGCUGGUAAUUAACAGCAACAGUUUAAUAAAGCUGCAGGACUCCCACUGUGUCA
rnacentral:lncRNA from 1 species